rnacentral:rRNA from 1 species
GACGGAGGGGGCUAGCGUUGUUCGGAUUUACUGGGCGUAAAGGGCGCGUAGGUGGUUUAGUAAGUUGGAAGUGAAAGCCCGGGGCUUAACCCCGGAAUGUCUUUCAAAACUGCUAGGCUAGAGUGUAGUAGGGGAUGAUGGAAUUCCUAGUGUAGAGGUGAAAUUCUUAGAUAUUAGGAGGAACACCGGUGGCGAAGGCGGUCAUCUGGGCUAUUACUGACACUAAGGCGCGAAAGCGUGGGGAGCAAACAGG